UUCACCAUGUUGACCAGGAUGGUCUCGAUCUCUUGACCUCGUGAUCCACCCGCCUCGGCCUCCCAGAGUGCUGGGAUUACAGGCUUGAGCCACUGCGCCCGGCCCUCGUAUAAUUACUUCUUUAAUGCUUUUCUUCAGGUCAGCUGAGUUUUUUUCCCUCAAAAAUUUUUUCUUAAGUGGAAAAAAUAUUGCAGAUAAAAGUCAAGCCCACAACCCCUGGCCCCCACCCCCAUAACCACUGUGUUGAUUUUUUCCCCUUAAUCUUGUUGUGGGAAAUAAGAUCUGAAGCCAUUGGCUUGUUGUAGUAAUUAGGCUUUUCUAAGUCACUUUACAAUCUAUAAAUACUGAAAUUACUAAAAUAGGAAUUAUCCAUGUGCCACCUAAAGUCCUCUUGUGCUGUCAUCACAAUGGUACACAGAGGAAGCUCAAUAGAUUUUCAGUAAAUAUUAGUUGAAUGGAUGCCCUUUUGCUUCUAAAUAUUCCAGUGGGUGAAGUUAUUAAGGUAUGAACAUGAAUAAAAUCACAGUUUCUUUUUUAUCACAUCAUGUAAACCUGAAUGGUGCGCUGAAAGUUAGGCACAGUAACUUUAUUUUCUAACUAGAGUUAAUUUUUCUAAUCUUCAUUCUUUUGGGUCCCCAAAUAAGCUCAUGUUUUUCAUGUUCAGUUUAGUUGUUACUAGUUGUUGGCUAGUUUCCUAAUUACACGUGAGUUAGCAUGUGGUGAUGGUGGAAUAGUGUUGUAUCUUGGAGAGAGCGUUGCUUGAGUUCCAAAUUUAGCUUUGCUACUUCUUGGUGAGACUUUGGACAAACUGUUUGUGAACUUGUUUCCUCACUUAAAAAAUGGGGUUCAUACCUUUAGUUGUUUCAACUGUUGUAAGGACUUGAAUAAUACAAUAUAAAGUAUUGAAUAAUACAGUAUAAAGCAAUAGAUAUAAACAUUUGGGGGAGAGUAAAAAUUACCCGUAUGCUGGGCUUAAAUAGAGUGAACAUAGCUCAAGAAAUAAGUCCAGGUAUUAAUCUUGUGGAAUGAACUCUGAUUGGACAGUUAGAAGAGCACAAAACAGACAUAGGUUUGAAUUCCGAAUUCCGUCAUGUAGCUACUAUGUGACCGAAGCUGACUUCUCUCCCUUAAUUUCCAGGUGUGUAAAUAUAGGUAAUAAAGUAGAUCUGUCUAAAGGGGUGUUGUGGGAUUAAAUGAGUUUAUAUUUAUAAGGUGCUUAAUGCAGCACCUGGCACAUAGUGAGUUGAUUUUCAUCACUUAAAUUACUAUUGGACACAGUUUCCUCAGAUGCUAAUUGAGAGGCUUGUAAUAGCUGAUCUCCAAGUUUGCAUCCAGCUUGAAAGCUUAGAGGAAUCUGUGUUGCAGCACUGUUUGUCUGGGGGUGGUGAUGUAGCAGUAGCUACUAGGAGUGAGGAAUGGGGCAUGGUGAUGGUGCUUAGUGUUAAAGUGUCUGAUAAUGCAAAAUGUUAACUGUUAGGGAGUAAUUAAUAGUUGGUGAAUGGUUUGGAGACAUUAAAAAGUUCAGAAUCAAUUGUCUAUAUUGGGUGAGAAAGACCAGUCAGUGCUACUACUAAACUCCUUACAGUCACAAAAAGGUUCUCAAAAUACCUAUGUUACUGUUACCUGGGUGGUUUUAUCUGUAUCUACAGACCCGCUUUGUGCCUGCCAGUGAAUCUAUGGGUUCAUAAUGUUUAUGGGCUGUUACUGGAUAUGACAUUACUGGACACCUGUCGGAAACUUCAUGUUGCUUCAAAACAUCAUUAGUAAGCUUCUGGUCUCAUUAGUAAGAAGAUAAGGAAUUUAUAGUCCCCAGAAAACCGUGCUUUCCCUUUGCUUGUGACUGAAGAUCUUUUCCCUUUUUACUGUAGAAGUUUAUUAUUCAGGAUAUGUAGCAAAAAACUGAAUUGAUAACAGAAACAUAACAGUGUAAACAAUUGAGGAGAGUGUUCACUGUUUAAUUACAUGUGCCUAUGAAAAACAUUUUAUGUUGAGAAAUGUAUUUUAGAUCUUCAUGUUCACCAGUUCUCUGAUAUGUUCCUUUGCUUGUCUUCUCUCUGGUUUCACCCAUAGCAGUCCUGUUGAUGUAUCAGGCUGCCCAGGUUUUGCAUUGCUUGUAAUACGUAUAUAUGUGUGGAAUCUACCUGUAACCACUUGCACAUUCCAUACCUAUCAGAUACCUUGGGUAACCUAUUAAGAAUAUUACAUAUUUUUGAGAACUCACACCAUUAGCUAUUAACAAAUGAAUAAUAGCUAAUUUAAAUAUUAAAUUAGUAAUAAUAUAAAGUAAUACUCAUAAUGCCCUUAGUGGUUUUUUAAAAACUUGGCAUAUAUGUGGAAGGGGAAUUAGGGCUUUUUUGUUGUCACUUACCAUUUAAUGCAAAAAUAAAAUAAAAUAAAAAUCUUUUUUGUUUUUUGAGACAAGGUCUUGUGUCACCCAGGCUAGAGUGCAGCAGUGCAGUCAUGGCCCACUGCAGCCUCGACCUCCUGGGCUUAAAUGAUCCACCUGCGUCAGAGUAGCUGGGACCAGAGGCAUGUGCCACUAUACCCGGCUAGAAAAAUAAAAAGCUUUAUUGAGAGGCUCUGUAGAGUUAAGAGCCUUUUGGAGCUGUAUAUGUCAGAAUCUCUCUCUUGUCUUUGUUUAUAAUCUGUUUGACCCUUGCUUAGAGGACAGUCGUGG